rnacentral:rRNA from 1 species
GACGAACGCUGGCGGCGUGCUUAACACAUGCAAGUCGAACGGAAAGGCCCUGCUUUUGUGGGGUGCUCGAGUGGCGAACGGGUGAGUAACACGUGAGUAACCUGCCCUUGACUUUGGGAUAACUUCAGGAAACUGGGGCUAAUACCGGAUAUGAGCUCCUGCUGCAUGGUGGGGGUUGGAAAGUUUCGGCGGUUGUGGAUGGACUCGCGGCUUAUCAGCUUGUUUGUGGGGUAGUGGUUUACCAAGGCUUUGACGGGUAGCCGGCCUGAGAGGGUGGACGGCGUCAUUAGGACUGAGGUACGGAGCAGAAGCGUACGGGAGGCAACAGUGGAGAGAAUGGCAGAAUGGGCGGAAGCCUGAUGCAGCAACGCCGCGUGCGGGAUGACGGCCUUCGGGUGGAAAACAGAUUUGGCCUGUGACGAAGCGUGAGUGACGGUAAUGGGUAAAGAAGCACCGGCUAACUACGUG